UGGGGAAUAUUGCACAAUGGGCGCAAGCCUGAUGCAGCCAUGCCGCGUGUGUGAAGAAGGCCUUCGGGUUGUAAAGCACUUUCAGCGAGGAGGAAGGUGGUGAGCUUAAUACGCUCAUCAAUUGACGUUACUCGCAGAAGAAGCACCGGCUAACUCCGUGCCAGCAGCCGCGGUAAUNCGGAGGGUGCAAGCGUUAAUCGGAAUUACUGGGCGUAAAGCGCACGCAGGCGGUUUGUUAAGUCAGAUGUGAAAUCCCCGGGCUCAACCUGGGAACUGCAUUUGAAACUGGCAAGCUAGAGUCUCGUAGAGGGGGGUAGAAUUCCAGGUGUAGCGGUGAAAUGCGUAGAGAUCUGGAGGAAUACCGGUGGCGAAGGCGGCCCCCUGGACGAAGACUGACGCUCAGGUGCGAAAGCGUGGGGCAGCAAACAGGAUUAGAUACCCUGGUAGUCCACGCUGUAAACGAUGUCGAUUUUGGAGGUUGUGCCCUUGAGGCGUGGCUUCCGGAGCUAACGCGUUAAAUCGACCGCCUGGGGAGUACGGCCGCAAGGUUAAAACUUAAAGUGAAUUGACGGGGUC
rnacentral:rRNA from 1 species